CCUACGGGAGGCAGCAGUGGGGAAUAUUGCACAAUGGGCGGAAGCCUGAUGCAGCGACGCCGCGUGAGGGAUGACGGCCUUCGGGUUGUAAACCUCUUUCAGUAGGGAAGAAGCGAGAGUGACGGUACCUGCAGAAGAAGCGCCGGCUAACUACAUGCCAGCAGCCGCGGUAAUACGUAGGGCGCAAGCGUUGUCCGGAAUUAUUGGGCGUAAAGAGCUCGUAGGCGGUUUGUCGCGUCUGCUGUGAAAGCCCGGGGCUCAACCCCGGGUCUGCAGUGGGUACGGGCAGACUAGAGUGCAGUAGGGGAGACUGGAAUUCCUGGUGUAGCGGUGAAAUGCGCAGAUAUCAGGAGGAACACCGAUGGCGAAGGCAGGUCUCUGGGCUGUUACUGACGCUGAGGAGCGAAAGCAUGGGGAGCGAACAGGAUUAGAUACCCUGGUAGUCCAUGCCGUAAACGUUGGGCACUAGGUGUGGGGGACAUUCCACGUUUUCCGCGCCGUANCUAACSCAUUARGUGCCCCGCCUGGGGAGUACGGCCGCAAGGCUAAAACUCAAAUGAAUUGACGGGG
rnacentral:rRNA from 1 species